UCCCACAGCAAAGCGAACAGCAAGCCCUUAGUGCUUUCAGAGUACCGUGAGGAUGUCACACUUGGCUUUGCAAAACAUGACUUUUAUGAACUUCCUUCAUAUGCAUGGACAUUACUGGGAGUGGUCCACCUCAAAAAAUCACAUCAGAAGGAAACAGUGGCACAGACAUCGAAUUGUCAGUGAGUUUAAGGCUUUGAGCCUCAUCUAGACAACAUUCUCAUUCUAUACAUUAGUCGCAUCAUAUUGUCUGAUUAGCUAUCUCAUGGAUUCAAAUAACAAUAAGAAUCACAGAAGGGCAGCAAAGAUUCCAUUACAUGGGAGUUGAAAGAGAGCUAUGCCAGUUCUCACGGCAAAGACAUCUGAAUCAUAAAAAAUACAGUUUUACACUUUGGCAAAACAUAGGUUCUUCCAUGGCUUGAGAAGUUACUAUGAUAUUACUAAAGUACCAGUAUCAUUGUCAUUGACUUUGAUUUAUAAAUUUCUCAGAAUUAGAGGGGGUUUAAAAUACCUGUAUAAUGAAAUACUGGGGAAAAAAAUAUUUCAUAAUAAAAAGUCUGUCCUGGAUUUGAUGUAAUAUAUUAUAGUAUUCCAAUCAAUAAAUUCAGAAUAGCAGCCA